CCUACGGGCGGCAGCAGUGAGGAAUAUUGGUCAAUGGCCGGAAGGCUGAACCAGCCAUGCCGCGUGAAGGUCAGUGCCCUAUGGGCGUUAAACUUCUUUUGUGCGGGAGCAAUAAUGGUCACGUGUGGCCAGACGAGAGUACCGUACGAAUAAGCAUCGGCUAACUCCGUGCCAGCAGCCGCGGUAAUACGGGGGAUGCAAGCGUUAUCCGGAUUUAUUGGGUUUAAAGGGUGCGUAGGCUGUGAGGUAAGUCAGCGGGGAAAUGCCCCCGCUCAACGGGGUGAAGUGCCAUUGAUACUGCCUUGCUGGAAUGCGGAUGCCGUGGGAGGAAUGUGUGGUGUAGCGGUGAAAUGCAUAGAUAUCACACAGAACACCGAUUGCGAAGGCAUCUCACGAAUCCGCGAUUGACGCUGAUGCACGAAAGCGUGGGUAUCAAACAGGAUUAGAUACCCUAGGAGUC
rnacentral:rRNA from 1 species